rnacentral:lncRNA from 1 species
CUGUCUGCCCGGGGCAGGGCGGCCGGUCAAGGAAAACCAAAAGCAGCCAGGGGUGGGCCCACGCCACAGGCCAGGCCCCAUGCCAAGUGUGCUGGCCACCAUUCCCUCCCGUCUCCUCACUGUGGACCAGCAUGGAAUAGCGUCACCCUGGUCAGCAGCAGAGGCUCAGAAAGGAAAAGGGAUCUGCCUGAAGCUACUCAGCCAAACAGAGCCAGGUCUGUAACUCAAGACCCACCCGUCCUGGAAGAAGUCCCAU